UUGGGAUGUUAGGAAGCUCCGAUGACAAAGAGCAAGCAGGAGGGGAAGCCUCACUCCCACAGCAAGUGUCCCUUUGCUUCUCCCCCUUCCCCAUCGCCUCCUUGGAAGCCCUGAGGAACAGGUGAAAGGGCUGUAGGUGAAGCAGGUGAAAGUCUCACCCAAUACCAUGGAGGAGGCAGAAAAACAACUGCGACACCCUCCCAGUAGUCCCUCACACUCAUUCAGGGCCUGUAUUUUUCUAAAGAGCUUUUACAGUAAUUCACUAUCUAUUAGUCCCAUUUGUGCUUUGCACCACACAACGGACUCUGCAGGAUCUCUCGCUUUCAUCCUCACAACCACCCAUUUUAAAGAUGACAAGAUUAGGCUCAGAGGUUAAAGGAGAGCUACUAAGCAGUGGAGACAGGAGGAAACGUCAGUUCUAUUCAGGCCAGGGCUUCCCAAAUUUUAAUUUGCUCAUGACUCACCUGGGGAGACCUGUGAAUAAUCAGACUCCUGAUUCCGUAGGCUGAGACUGGGCUCUACACUUGCAACAAGCUCCCAGGUAAAUGGACUACUUUGUAUCUGGGGCUAGAUUUAAUUUCCAUUAAGACAGCGCCUGUCUCACCCAAUCCCCAGGGCUUAGCACUGGGCCUGCCCCAUAGAAUGCACUCAAUAAUUAUUUGUUGAAUGAGUCAAUGAGUACCUGACUCAAAAACCAAUGCUUAAACAAUUCUCUGUAUCAAGUCCCAUUACGUCAUUGGACCUAGUAACAAAUCUCUAAGGUGUGUUCAUCCCCAUUUGACAGAUACGGAAACAGGCUCAAAGGAGAAACAGCCUAGGGUUUUACAGCUUUUGCAACAGGGCUGCAGGCAGUCUACAUUCAGAUCCGUCGCCCUGAGCACAGCUGUCCCAAGGUUGAGGGGGAAAAUAAUAACUAGAGACCGCAGGAGGGCGAGAAGCUGGACCUAUCCGGGCAUGUGACCAGCUCACGGCGCCGGUCACCCAGGAGCUCCGAGCUGCUCCCCGGGGGAGGGGUACCCAGGCUCUGUGCCCCCGUGAGGGGACACGGAGGAGGGAAGAAGGCCGGUCCUGGGCAGAGCGCCUGGCAGCGGCGGGCAGGUGGCGAGUGACCCCUGCCCUGACGGAGAGCCCCGCUGGGCCCAAGCACCCCCGCGGGUCCCAGCUCCGGUCUGACGCUGUCCAGCACGGGGUGUGGGCGGGCGGGGGAGGGCCAGGGGCAUCCCAGGAAAUUGCAGCCUGGCGAUGAAUCACCCGGCCAACGACCCCGCAGCGGAGGGUGCGGGACGGGCGCGGGAUGCGUCUGGGCUCGGGGAGCGCAGGCCUCGCGCCCGUCAACCUCGCUCGCUUUGGGGCGCGAGGGGAAGCCUGCCCCGCGCAGCCCCAGUCCCGACCCCCGGGUUUCCCGGUGGGGCGGCACUCACGGCCUUCAGCUGCUCCAGCCGGUCCUUCAUCCCGGCGUCCCGGCGCCCGGAGGCAGGCGAGCGCGUCCCAGGCAAAAGUCUGGAUUCCACCUGCUACUGGCAUACAGGAAACUGAAAAUUAAGUCAAGUGACUGCAGGACAAGGGACCUGGGUGAGGAGAGCCCUGGGCAUUGAGGAAGACUCUGCUCUUGAGCCCAAGAAGUCUGGAGGGUCUCCAUGCAGGCGGACAGGGAUGAAGGUUCCAGGCUUAGUAGGAGCCCCUUGUCCCUGAUGUGUUUUGAUUUCUCUGCCCCAUCCACUACAUCUUAGUGCAGCUGUCUCCCUGUUAAACAAAUACUGUCAAGAUUAAUAUAAGUGUCUGCAUUUUGGCUAUCAGUCAAUCAGGUGACACUUAAUUUCACCUUUACAAACAAACCAAAGAGAUAAUCCUGGGAUUUGGGAGCUCCAUGUCCCUCUCUCUCCUCCCCUAAGCCUCUUUCUUUCCCAAUGGAGAAAUGAAUUGAGCCUUACCCCAUCUGGACCUCCAGGGCCUGCUAUGGAACAAGUGAAACCACUUUCGGGCUGGUGGACCUUGAGGCAGUAUCUCCUCCAGGGCGUGGUGUUCAGUAGAAAGAGAUACGGGAGGCAAGGGAAUUGAAGGGGAAGAUCCCUUUCAUUCCCUACUACAAUCCCCCCCGCAGGGAGGAUGGAGAAUAAACUUCCUGACUUGUA